UACGAAGGGGGCUAGCGUUGCUCGGAAUUACUGGGCGUAAAGCGCACGUAGGCGGAUUGUUAAGUCGGGGGUGAAAUCCUGGAGCUCAACUCCAGAACUGCCUUCGAUACUGGCGAUCUAGAGUCCGGGAGAGGUGAGUGGAACUGCGAGUGUAGAGGUGAAAUUCGUAGAUAUUCGCAAGAACACCAGUGGCGAAGGCGGCUCACUGGCCCGGUACUGACGCUGAGGUGCCAAAGCGUGGGGAGCAAACAGG
rnacentral:rRNA from 1 species